AGAAGAGGUGAGAACAGAAGAAGAGAAGAGGUGAGAACAGAAGAGAAGAGGUGAGAACAGAAGAAGAGAAGAGGUGAGAACAGAAGAAGAGAAGAGGUGAGAACAGAAGAAGAGAAGAGGUGAGAACAGAAGAAGAGAAGAGGUGAGAACAGAAGAAGAGAAGAGGUGAGAACAGAAGAAGAGAAGAGGUGUGAACAGAAGAGAAGAUGGGUGAACAGAAGAAGAGAAGAGGGGAGAACAGAAGAAGAGAAGAGGUGAGAAAAGAAGAAGAGAAGAGGGGUGAACAGAAGAAGAGAAGAGGUGAGAAAAGAAGAAGAGAAGAGGGGUGAACAGAAGAAGAGAAGAAGGGAGAAAAGAAGAAGAGAAGAGGGGUGA